GACGAACGCUGGCGGCGUGCUUAACACAUGCAAGUCGAACGAUGAAACCUAGCUUGCUAGGUCGAUUAGUGGCGAACGGGUGAGUAACACGUGACUAACCUGCCCCUUUCUCUGGGAUAACGCUUCGAAAGGAGUGCUAAUACCGGAUACUCACAUCGAGGCACAUGCCUUGAUGUGGAAAGUUUUUCGGAAAGGGAUGGAGUCGCGGCCUAUCAGCUUGUUGGUGAGGUAACGGCUCACCAAGGCGACGACGGGUAGCCGGCCUGAGAGGGGGACCGGCCACACUGGGACUGGGACACGGCCCGGACUCCUACGGGAGGAAGCACUGGGGAAUGUUGCACAAUGGGAGCAAGCCUGAUGCAGCGACGCCGCGUGAGGGAGGAAGGUCUUCGGAUUGUAAACCUCUUGCAGUAGGGACGAAGCGAAAGUGACGGUACCUAAAGAAGAAGCACCGGCUAACUACGUGCCAGCCGCCGCCGUAA
rnacentral:rRNA from 1 species